rnacentral:lncRNA from 10 species
CCCAGAGUGGAGCUCAGCUACAGAGGAAUGCUUCACUGAAAGAAAUGACAGACAGGUCUGUCCCACCCACGGUGACUCAGUCAUUGUUGUUCAUGGCCGCUGCCCGUUCUUCACGAUCAAGGAGGAGAAUUCUUUGGAGGAAACAGAGCUUUCAUACGUGAAUCGACUGGGAAGCGAGUCAAAAGUACUGCAACUGGAAGUGUGGCAUGGGGAGGGGGCCGUGGCCAGUCUCCUCACUGGGCUCCUGUAGGACUGGGAACGCCUACUCCUUCACACCUAAUUAUGUUUGCUGGAUUGGGUUAUAGUUCUUCAGUGUGUGGACUCUUGUCAGUUUUAUAUCCGUAGGCCGAGCACAAUGCCUGGAAUACAGAGCAUGCUUAAUAAUCA